CAUGGUGCCCCUGCUCUCCUCUGCACCUCCUGAUUGGACCCAGCUGCCAGCACUCUUCUCAUCAGCCACAGUCAGCUAUUUAAGAGAGGCCUGCUCCAGCAUUCUUCGCCAGUUCGUUACCUUAACCGGAUUUCUACUACCACGUGCUGACCUGGGUCCAUUGCCACUUAGCUCCACCAUCUACCCGGCUGCAGGACCACACCAUCAUCCAACUCACCUGCUGGUUCUUUGCUCCACCGCCUGGUCUCCUGCUGAUCCUCAUCCGCCUCCUCCUGCUGCCACUCCACUCCAGCUUCAGUGCCCAAAACCUCAUCGGACAAUAAACUCUUUCCUACUGCCU